rnacentral:rRNA from 1 species
CACGUAGGGGACGAGCGUUGUCCGGAUUCAUUGGGCGUAAAGCGUCCGCAGGUGGCAAUUCAAGUCUGCUGUUAAAGCGCAGGGCUUAACUCUGUAAAGGCAGUGGAAACUGAAUAGCUAGAGUGUGGUAGGGGCAGAGGGAAUUCCCAGUGUAGCGGUGAAAUGCGUAGAGAUUGGGAAGAACAUCGGUGGCGAAGGCGCUCUGCUGGACCAUAACUGACACUCACAGGACGAAAGCUAGGGGAGCGAAUGGG